rnacentral:tRNA from 3 species
GCUGGGAUAGCUCAGUUGGUAGAGCAUCUCCAUGGUAAGGAGAAGGUCGUGGGUUCGACUCCCAUUCCCAGCU